AUAAUAACUUUACGGAUCACAAUAAUUUAUUUUGUGACAUAUCAUUCAAGUUUCUGACCUAUCAGCUUUAGACGGUAGGGUAUUGGCCUACCGUGGCUAUGACGGGUAACGGGGAAUUAGGGUUCGAUUCCGGAGAGGGAGCCNGAGAAACGGCUACCACAUCUAAGGAAGGCAGCAGGCGCGCAAAUUACCCAAUCCUAAUACAGGGAGGUAGUGACAAGAAAUAACAAUACAGGACUUUACGGUUUUGUAAUUGGAAUGAGUUAAGUAUAAACCCCUUUACAAGUAUCAAUUGGAGGGCAAGUCUGGUGCCAGCAGCCGCGGUAAUUCCAGCUCCAAUAGCGUAUAUUAAAGUUGUUGCAGUUAAAAAGCUCGUAGUUGGAUUUCUGUUAAUA
rnacentral:rRNA from 1 species